rnacentral:lncRNA from 1 species
UAAACUAGUUGUUAGACUUGUCUCACUUCAUCAAGAGGGGGUAAUUAAUUGUAAUUGUAGGUACUAGCAUGCUUUCAAAAUUCAAACUAUGAUAAUUGAUAACACUAGAAUUGAUGCCACUAGACCUUCUCUUAAGGGAAAAAUGUCAGUUGCACUUUACACUUAAUUCGGGUAGGUUAAAAAUUGAUGGAAAAGACUUUCAGGUGGAGGUUCCGGCUGAUUUCCAAUCACUCCCUCAUCCAUCUUAUCACAAUAUCAAUUACAUAAUAUCUUGCAUGGAAAGUGACAAGUGUUGCAUUUAUACAGACUGUUCCAAAUCAAAUGAUGGGGUAGGGUCGGCCUUUUGCGUUAUCUGAGGUAGGUAGGUGUUAGUGUUCGGAUUUUAAAGUUAAUCCCAACU